UCAUGCAGCCAUGGAGAGCCUUCCUCGUACCCUUUGUCUGUCAUGUUGAUCACAGUGGCUCAGUGAUGUUGACAUACACCAGCCUUCACUGUGCAACGCAACAGGUAGACCCUGCGACACUCAUGGAUGCCAGGUAGUGUGUGGAGUUCCAUGGCCAUGACCCUGAGUCUUGCCAACAACAUAGUCCUUUGAUGGUGGCGUCUACGCUAAGUUCCAUGCGAUCUGACCACGCUCCUUUCCAGCUAGUGUUUGGAACUGGUGUUGCUGAUGACUGAACAACCUUUGUCAGGCAGGUGUGAAGGCUGAGCAAUUGCCCAGCUGAAUCCCUCAAUGACUGCCUGGAAAGGACAUGUCCCCAUGACCACUGUGGCCUUUAUAAAGACACGGCCGAUUCUGAUAGGAGAUUGUGACUCAACCAAGAGAAAUACUAUGUGCCCUUCACCGAUACAUGGCAAGGACAUGCUGCCGUUUUAACAGCUCGCAUUCCCCUCUUCCACCUCAUCCAAGUUUUCUUUAUUGUCAAGGGUCACUGUCUUCAGUUUCGUUUUCCUUUCCUGGGUGCUCCGUCCUCCUAGCCAGGAGCAGUCAUCGCACCUGCGCUGAAUCUGCUUCCAGACACGGUUCCUGUCUUUGCUCCUUUGAAUACACGUGGACGAAAGAGGUUGUGCUCCCUGGACCAUCUGCCCAGAUCUGUGUUGGGGUGACGGUUCCCUCCUGCAGUCGGCUCCAGGUUCACUGUCCUUGGCAGCAGUUCUUCAGGAAAGUGACACGGGUCAUAAAGCCAUGGAGAGCCUUCCUCGUACCCUUUGUCUGUCAUGUUGAUCACAGUGGCUCAGUGAUGUUGACAUACACCAGCCUUCGCUGUGCAACCAACAUGUGGAUCCUGCGACACUCAUGGA